UGUAUGCGGUUGAUUUUGAGG
rnacentral:piRNA from 1 species